rnacentral:rRNA from 1 species
UACGAAGGGGGCUAGCGUUGCUCGGAAUCACUGGGCGUAAAGGGUGCGUAGGCGGGUCUUUUAAGUCAGGGGUGAAAUCCUGGAGCUCAACUCCAGAACUGCCUUUGAUACUGAGGAUCUUGAGUUCGGGAGAGGUGAGUGGAACUGCGAGUGUAGAGGUGAAAUUCGUAGAUAUUCGCAAGAACACCAGUGGCGAAGGCGGCUCACUGGCCCGAUACUGACGCUGAGGCACGGAAAGCGUGGGGAGCAAACAG